rnacentral:rRNA from 1 species
UGGGGAAUAUUGCACAAUGGGCGCAAGCCUGAUGCAGCCAUGCCGCGUGUAUGAAGAAGGCCUUCGGGUUGUAAAGUACUUUCAGCGGGGAGGAAGGCGAUAAGGUUAAUAACCUUGUCGAUUGACGUUACCCGCAGAAGAAGCACCGGCUAACUCCGUGCCAGCAGCCGCGGUAAUACGGAGGGUGCAAGCGUUAAUCGGAAUUACUGGGCGUAAAGCGCACGCAGGCGGUCUGUCAAGUCGGAUGUGAAAUCCCCGGGCUCAACCUGGGAACUGCAUUCGAAACUGGCAGGCUAGAGUCUUGUAGAGGGGGGUAGAAUUCCAGGUGUAGCGGUGAAAUGCGUAGAGAUCUGGAGGAAUACCGGUGGCGAAGGCGGCCCCCUGGACAAAGACUGACGCUUAGGUGCGAAAGCGUGGGGAGCAAACA